rnacentral:rRNA from 1 species
AUGUGGCACGAGGCGCGGCGGUCGGAGCGGAAGGUCCACGACCUCAUGGACGGUGCGCGGCGCCGGGCCCAGCGGCGCUACGCCUACCUCGCCCGCCGCCGCGGCGAUCCGCACCAGUCCCUCCAGGUCUCCGGCGCCCGGUGCCGCGUCCACCGCGACGACUCACUAUAUCAGGCCACCGAAGACCAGCAGGGAUUGAUACCAUGGAACGGGAAACAAGAUAUUCUGAUUGACAGAUUUGAUGGCCGUGCACUACUUGACUUCAUCCGUGACUCUAGCUCUCGGUCUUUUCAAACUCAGGAAAAAUCUGAAGAAGAGGAGGAGCUAGAGGAUUUUGUUAAUUUUGAACGUUACCGGGACUUGAUUAAGCAUCGUCGUAGAGGAUUUUCUGAUGAGGCGGGUUUACAACAUGUUGCGCAAGAGUUGGAAGCAAAAGCUAUUCUUCCUUUUAGCUUUGAGAAAUCUCAAUCAUCACAGGCUCCAGUUAGCAAAGGUGCUUAUUCGCAGGUUGGAUACUCAUAUAAAGGGGAUGGAAAUGAACAUUCUGAUGAUCUGCCCAGUGAUGAUGAAGAUGAAGAGGAAGGAGAAGAGGAUGGCAAGGACUUCAGUAGUGAUGAUAGCAGUGAUGAGCAAAUGGAAAACUUAGCAAAAGAAUUUGGCAUAAAAAGAUAUAACUGGCUUGUUUACAUGGACAAAAAGGUCAAAGAAGAGGAGAAGCGGCAUAAAGAAAUUAUUAAAGGCGACCCAUCCAUUAAAAAAUUGAGUCGGAGAGAUAGAAGGAAGGCUUCUCAAUCUGAGAGGGAGCGAGAGAGGGAGGCAGUACGUUCUGUUGGAAGGGUAUCUUAUCGUGACCCUUAUAGGGAACAAAGGAGAAGCCCAUCAUAUGAAGCAUAUUCAAGAGGCAGAAGAUCAAGGUCGCGGUCAAGAUCUCAUUCACCUUCAUCCAGACGUCAUACCCGUGGUACACAUGCUGAAAGUAAUUACCGAAGCAAGGCUAAGCCUCCAAGAGUUGAAUACAUCACUGAAUUUGGAGGUUCAGAAGACGCCAGUGAUCUAAAAGUUACAGGGAUCUCUCCGCCUUCGUCUCCAAUACGAGCUGACAUACCUAACCGGUCAUCAGGUGUCCAUAUUCUGGAGGCACUUCACAGUGAUCCUGCAUCUUCUUUAUCCAUGGAACAGGAAAAAAGUGCUAAAAUUUUGAAACCACCUGCCAGCACAUCAUCAGCACUAGCGAAACUAAAGGGUGCUUCUGGAGGACUUGGUAAAACUCCCCAGGCUGAAAAGAAAGAAACACCACAGGAACGCCUUAAAAGGAUAAUGAGCAAACAGCUUAACAAACAAAUUCGAAAAGAUACUGCUGCUGAGACUGCAAAGAAACGAGAACAGGAACGGCAAAGGCAGGAAAAACUUGCAGAAGUAGGUCGACACAGGCUCCGUAGCAGGAGUAGAAGUCUUAGCCGUUCACCAAGAAAGCGGCAUUAUAGCAGAAGCCGUAGUAGGAGCCGAAGCCCAAGAAGAAACCCUUCACUUUCACUGUCUCGUUCAAGGUCACCCUCUCACUCUCCAAGGUACAGAAGCAUAUCAAGGCACUAA